CUUUGCGUCUGUGUUUGUCCCGGCAUCACUGCUUGACAACCGGUGUUGGUGUGUUUACGUCCUCGUAAACUAGCGGUUCGGUAGAGGAGAUCGAUAGUAUAAGUGCUAGGCUCUAAAAAGAAAAAAAAAAAAUACUACUGAGUGUCGAUUCAGUAGACUAAAAGUUUUUGAAGGCGACGCCCCGGCAUUGCCGCAGCCUAAUGACUGAGUAACAAGUAAAAAAAUAAAAUAAAAGAAUAUGGAGGUGCCUCGCUUUACAGCCACGUCACGUUACGAGAUUUCGUGUUUACGGAAAUAGUAGAGCACGACCACUGAUUCAUAUUUUUUUCUGAAAUAAGAUCUCAUAUUUGAUGGAAGGGUGUUACUCGAUUACAUCAACUCAGUACUUCACUAAUACUUUAUCGGAACGCCUUUUAAAAGACUGACUUUCGGAAUGAAAUACUUAAACGUUAUGAAAUAGCAGGCCCCAUCAGUUGAAGAAGAAAGGUUUAAAUUUAAGUAAAAUAAAACAGUUAUUAAAUUUCAACAGCAUAAUCGUAACAUAUACGUAAACCAUAAAUUAUAACCUUGCAAACUUAAGGCUAAACUUUAACCCCGAACUGUAAUAAUAAAAACUUAGAUGAAUAUCUACCGUCUAAACAGAGAGCUUUUGUUUUAAAUUUGUUUAUGACCGGAUUUAAUAUGAUAUUGUGUUACGUCUCUACAAUUGAUUUCGCCUACUUUUGUGAUCUCUAUUUCCAUAAUCUUUAUAUUGAUGCUUUCAAAGGAAAUCAUUUCCUCUCCAGAGAACGAAUGUGUACUACAUAACCAGGGAUAUCAAUCUACAAACUAGAAUAAUCUGAAUUCAAGUUCUUAAAUCCAUUGAGACCCUGCUUAGAAGAAGAAAGAUUGUAUGAACAACUCGCUAUCAGAUAGGCUUUCGAGAAUUAUAUAACACUUCCUGAAUGAUAACCGGUAAAAUGUUUACAAAAUAUUGGCUAGAAAAGCUGACUUGUGAGUAGAUAAUAUCUCACAGAAUGUGUAAAGAAAAAAAUAAAGAAAAAAGGCUGUCGAAAAAUAUUCUUAGAGAUACAAAUAUCAGUUUCUAAUUACUAAGGAUGAGAAUAGAAUAAAGAACGGAUCACGCAACAGCAACGUGUUCCUUACUAAAAUAACUGGUCCUCCGUCGGUUACGGCGAUGUGGGUUUCAGUUGAUCCGAUCAACGGAACAGCCAGCUCGUGAAAUUAACGUGCAUGUGGCUGAGCGCUCCACAGAUAUGUGUACCCUUUACGGGUACUCUACAAACAUGCGCGUACUCUUAACAGUUUUGACACAGGCUGUGACGAGGCUGGCCUUUUGAAAUACAGUACUAAUGUAUCACUCCAAAAGUCCAAAGGGUACUUAUUUUUUCGAUAAAAUUUUUUGUCUUACCUCUAGGAAGAAUGCCGGAUAAAUGGACAACCUAGAAUGGAUAACCUAGUACUCGAGUUUCGGACUUUCCAGAAUACGUUUGUUAUCAUAAAUCUGGAUGAAAGGAUAAAACGCAAAGUCAAACUCAGACGGAAUUUGAACUCAGAAUUUGAACUCAUGACGGACGAAAUGCCGCUAAGCAUUUUGCCCGGUGUAUUAACGAUUCUGCCAGCUCGUCACCUUACUGAAAGGGACUGUUAGAAAAGAAUAUUGAAGCUUUGUAUGGAAAAGAGUGCUGAAUAACAAAGCAUAAUUACUGUCUCAAUAUUCCAACUGGUUCAGUUGAACUUUUGAGAAAGUUUAAGCGAACUCAAGUAGAUAUAGCACCGGAGACGUUAUCAAAAUGUCAUUUUCCUGUCAUAGCAAACGCCGACAGAUGAUACGACAAAUAAUAAGGCUUCUACAAUUUCGCAAUAUAGGUUUCUGUUAUUAAAUAUCUACUGAAGACACGGCAA